rnacentral:tRNA from 1 species
UAUUUUGUUGCUACCGAUAGCAAUUUUAAAGCAGAAAUUCUUGAUUCAAAUAAAGUUGCAUUGGUUGACUUUUGGGCUGCAUGGUG